GUGAGAAUGUUGGCAUGAGUAGCGAGAUGUGGGUGAGAAUCCCACAGGCCGUAAACCCAAGGUUUCCAGGGGAAGGUUCGUCCGCCCUGGGUUAGUCGGGACCUAAGCUGAGGCCGAAAGGCGUAGGUGAUGGACAACAGGUUGAUAUUCCUGUACUACCGAUAACCGUUUGAGAGAAGGGAUGACACAGUAGGAUAAGCUAAGCACACUGUUGGUUAUGUGUGCCCAAGCAUUGAGGCAGUCAAAGUAGGCAAAUCCGCUUUGAUAAUGCUGGGAUGUGAUGGGGAGCGAAAUUUAGUAGCGAAGUAGCUGAUUUCACACUGUCAAGAAAAGUCUCUAUCGAGGUUAAAGGUACCCGUACCGCAAACCGACACAGGUGGGUGAGGAGAGUAUCCUAAGGCCAGCGAGAGAACUGUUGUUAAGGAACUCGGCAAAAUGACCCCGUAACUUAGGGAUAAGGGGUGCCACCAU
rnacentral:rRNA from 1 species